rnacentral:lncRNA from 1 species
CCUUCCUUUUCUACUGCUUUCUUCACUUCUGCUUGCUUUUGGCAUUGGGAAGAUGCAUCUUUGGAGCCAUCGGUGGCAAGGAGGUUGAAGGUUGGCCAAAAAAAGAUGGGAAGGAGAUUUUUGGCUGGGGAUUCUGAGAGAAAUAGAAGAGAAAGAAGAAAGAAAAGAAGAUGAAUAGGAGUCGAUAUUCUUGGAAAUAU